AACUUUGCUCAGUGGCAGUAUCAUAGCCAAUGAGGUUUAUCCGAGGCGCAAUUAUUGCUAAUUAAAAACUUUUCCCGAUACCCCGAGACUUGAAAUAUAGUCAGCAUUGGCAAUUUUUGACAGUCUCUACGGAGA